rnacentral:rRNA from 1 species
UGAACGCUGGCGGCGUGCUUAACACAUGCAAGUCGAACGGACGCUUUGGGAAACUGAAGCGUUAGUGGCAAACGGGUGCGUAACACGUGGGCGACCUACCCCAAAGUGGGGAACAACGGACCGAAAGGUUCGCUAAUACCGCAUUAGCUCAGUCCUUCAUUGGGUUGAGUAAAGCCGCAAGGCGCUUUGGGAGGGGCCCGCGGCCCAUCAGGUAGUUGGUGAGGUAAUGGCCCACCAAGCCGAUGACGGGUAGCUGGUCUGAGAGGACGAUCAGCCACACUGGCACUGAGAUACGGGCCAGACUCCUACGGGAGGCAGCAGUGAGGAAUAUUGCGCAAUGGGGGAAACCCUGACGCAGCGACGCCGCGUGGGCGACGAAGGCCUUCGGGUCGUAAAGCCCUUUUGGCAGGGACGAGUGAGGACGGUACCUGCCGAAUAAGUCUCGGCUAACUACGUGCCAGCAGCCGCGGUAAAACGUAGGAGGCGAGCGUUAUCCGGAUUCACUGGGCGUAAAGCGCGCGUAGGCGGUUGGGUAAGUCGGACGUGAAAGCCCCUGGCUCAACUGGGGGAGGCCGUUCGAUACUGCCCGGCUUGAGGGUGAGAGAGGGAAGUGGAAUUCCCGGUGUAGCGGUGGAAUGCGUAGAGAUCGGGAGGAACACCAGUGGCGAAAGCGGCUUCCUGGCUCACUCCUGACGCUGAGAGCGCGAAAGCGUGGGGAGCAAACGGGAUUAGAUACCCCGGUAGUCCACGCCCUAAACGAUGAGGGCUAGGUGUUGGUGGGAUUUCCCAUCUGUGCCGAAGCAAACGCGUUAAGCCCUCCGCCUGGGGACUACGAAACGCAGUUUAAAACUC